UUUUUUUGCCAUUUGGAUCUUUUGCUAUGGAGAAAGAGGAUACACGAUAAGAUGUGAGGGCUUCGUUUUUGUAGCGCAUAAACCACAUCUGCGAAAGUGCGCCUCUUCAUCAAAGUGUGGAGAUUCUUGAUGCCCUCCUCCCUAUCAUGUAGGAUAAAAAAAAAGCGGGGGAGAAAAAAACCUACGGACGUGAGUUGGCAUGAAUGUGUGUGUCUGGAAAAAAAAAAAAAAAAAGGAGUCCCGGGGCUUUGUCCUCCACGUCUCUCUGCGUCCCGUAACUGCCACGCAGAGAGAGAGAGAGAGGGCUGCACGUGGCGCAGCACGUCUGUGAGAUGCUGGAAACCACGCGAGGACAAGGAGAUCCAACUCCAACCGUGGGGAAUCACGGCGGUCCGGGAAUACUGCGUUGCUGUUGCGUUGCUGUGCGGGUCGUGCAAGAACAUGGUGCAGCUGCGGCCGCUUUGAGUGCGUGUUUUGGGGGAGAGAGAGAGAGAGAAAGAGAGAGAGAGAGAGAGAGAGAGAGACCAACGACACUGCAGCUUCCUCUAUUCUGUCAUCCAAGGGUAGUGAGGAGAUGUUGAGACAGUGAAGUGGUCGCUGCAUGUUUAUUUUCUCUCGUUUUUAAACUUUUUUUUUUUUCUGCAUGGGAUCCACUUUUGUACCGCUUUGAAGAGACGCGUAUCACUGGGGUUUGCCCCCUGGACUUUUGGGGCUUUUGGUAAUGCGAGGUUGCUCUUGACUGAGAGAUCCACCCGUAGAAACUUGCCUUAAAAUUCUGAAAGGACUUCAACCGGAGAUGCGGGAUUUAUUCGCUUUUUAUUGCUUGAGUAAGUGAAGUCCUACAGAAAUACUCUCACCUCCAUCCGCAGGCCUGCAAGCGACAGACAGCCUGACCUUCUGGCCCGAGGAGCGGAGGUCAGCGACGGGGUCAGGCCAUCGCUGUGACGUCAGAGCUUGAGAAGAAGAAGAAGAAGAAGAAGAAGAGGAGGAGGAGGAGGUGGUGGAGGAGGGAAAAGAGAAGCCAGAGUGGGUGGAAUUAUGGAAGAAGAGGAGGAUGGAAGCAGUUUGAGGAGGUUGUUCGAAGCGGGUGAACCCAGAGCAGGUGAACGCAGCUGCGGAUCGCCAUGGGCUUUCUGUCUACUUCCUCUUGUGGGCCAAGUUGCUCUGUACUGGGGUU